CUGAGACAAAUGUCAUCUGCUGGGAAACUGGGAAUUCCGAUGCGGAAGGGGUCUCCUGGGAGCAAGUAUCAGCUAUACUCUGGAUGGGAAGUCCUAUUCCAGAUGCUGGCAAAGGAGAGGGAGAGGAAGAUGAGGAGAAAGACGGCAUGAGGCCUCGUCUGCCAACCACCCCGAGGAACUGCAUCCCACACCGGGGCAUCAGUGUUCUAGAGAAGCUGGUGAAGACCUGUCCUGUGUGGCUACAGCUAGGGAUAGGCCAGGCAGAGGCUGCCAAGAUCCUGCAGCAGGAGAUGGCUGGGAUGUUCCUGGUGUGCCGGGACAGCAGCCUGAAGCGACUGGUGCUAUGUGUCCACUUCCCUUCUCUGAAGAACACCUCGACUGAAGUUCUGGAGUACCCCAUCAAAGAA
rnacentral:lncRNA from 1 species